AGAGCGUCGAGAGAGAGAAAGUUUACAGCAGCUGGCUGGAAGCGUGACGGUCAUGGGAAAUGGUUUAAAGAUGAAAAUGUUGAGUUUGACUCUGAUGAAGAAGAUCCAAACGUCUGUCUUGCAUGAUAAGUUGAGGAACCAUGUCGAUGUAUCGUUGGUCAUUUUACUUCAGGAUUGAUGAUCGUAGGUUAUCACAUUCACAUAGCCAGAGGGACUGCAUGCUUAAUUAGUAAUAGCUUGUGGGUGACACAGAUAUCAAUCCAGUUUUGCUACAUGCACAUAAUUUGUGCACAAAAAAAAAGAAUGUAGAGUAUGGAGACAAGGGCCCUUCCGUGCACGUAUUUUUAAAAAUCCAUCUAGUUGCAUGUCAAGUACUGAAUGGUGAAGUUUUUUUAGGGUAUGUACGAGCCAAUUCUUCUAUUUGUACAGAAACUAAUCACAAAACUGGACACACCAAAAACCAAUUCUUCAAUUUCUAUGAUGGUUUUUUGUUUUCCUAGAUUUUUUUAUAUAUGAGCUAAGGAGAGUAUGGGAUGCUUAAGGUUAGCUCGGAUACACUUGGAACAGUGGUCCACCUUGACAUGAAUUUAACAACCUAUUAAAACUAGUACACAGCUUGAUUUGUGCAAGUUUGAUUAGCCUGUAAAGUUUGUUUGCUACCCUAAUGAAAGUUUACAAGACACUAUUAUUUAA